GACAGGACUCGGGGACAAUCUCCACCAUGGCCUGGUCCCCUCUCCUCCUCACCCUCCUUGCUCACUGCACAGGGUCCUGGGCCCAGUCUGUGCUGACUCAGCCGCCCUCAGCAUCUGGGGCCCUGGGCCAGAGGGUCACCAUCUCCUGCACCGGCAGCAGCUCCAACAUCGGGGAUGGCAAUUAUGUGAACUGGUACCAGCAGCUCUCAGGAAAGGCCCCCAAACUCCUCAUCUAUGAAGACAGCAAUCGGGCCUCGGGGAUCCCUGAUCGCUUCUCUGGCUCCAAGUCUGGCA